AUCGCUUCUCGGCCUUUUGGCUAAGAUCAAGUGUAGUAUCUGUUCUUAUCAGUUUAAUAUCUGAUACGUCCCCCAUCGGGGGACUACAUAUUAAAUGGAUUUUUCGAACAGGGAGUCGGAAAUGGGGCUUGCUCCGUCCGCUCCACGCAUCGACCCGGUAUUGCAGUACCUCCGGAACGGUGGCAACACU
rnacentral:snRNA from 1 species